UGAAACUGAGUUUUUCUCGGAUUCUCCGAUUUUCUAUUUUCGAUUUUUGAUUCAAUCAUGGCACUGAUUUCUCGUUUCUUGUGUAUUUCCUGUAGUUUCAUCCUCGCUUCUGAAGCUCCUUUUCAUCAAGGACGAUAGACAUGGCUACUGAUAACCGUUGUGCUCACCGGAGACUCUGUUCGCUUCUGUUCGCAGUCACUAUCACCAAAGAGCUCGUGAAGUGGUCAUUUCUACUUGUUUUGUUGAUUCCUGUCCUUGAAGUCGUUCUUGUGUUUGCCUCAUUCCUAUCCGAUCAGUAAUCAUCACAGGUGGUGGUUGACAAGUUCUCUGGACGCUCUCGUGGAUUUGGUUUUGUAACUUUUGAUGAGAAGCAAGCAAUGGAUGAGCCUAUUGAGGCUAUGAACGGGAUGAACUUGGAUGGGAGAAAUAUCAUUGUGUAAAAA